rnacentral:tRNA from 1 species
GGCCGAGUGGCGGAAUGGCAGACGCGGCGGAUUCAAAAUCCGCUUUCUUCGGGAGUACCGGUUCGAGUCCGGCCUCGGCUACCA